rnacentral:rRNA from 1 species
CAAGGCGAUUACGGGUAGCCGGCCUGAGAGGGCGACCGGCCACACUGGGACUGAGACACGGCCCAGACUCCUGCGGGAGGCAGCAGUGGGGAAUAUUGCGCAAUGGGCGAAAGCCUGACGCAGCGACGCCGCGUGGGGGAUGACGGCCUUCGGGUUGUAAACCUCUUUUACCACUCACGCAGGCCCCACGUUUUCGUGGGGUUGACGGUAGGUGGGGAAUAAGGACCGGCUAACUACGUGCCAGCAGCCGCGGUAAUACGUAGGGUCCGAGCGUUGUCCGGAAUUAUUGGGCGUAAAGAGCUCGUAGGCGGCGUGUCGCGUCUGCUGUGAAAGACCGGGGCUUAACCCCGGUUCUGCAGUGGAUACGGGCAUGCUAGAGGUAGGUAGGGGAGACUGGAAUUCCUGGUGUAGCGGUGAAAUGCGCAGAUAUCAGGAGGAACACCGGUGGCGAAGGCGGGUCUCUGGGCCUUACCUGACGCUGAGGAGCGAAAGCAUGGGGAGCGAACAGGAUUAGAUACCCUGGUAGUCCAUGCCGUAAACGUUGGGCGCUAGGUGUGGGGACUUUCCACGGUUUCCGCGCCGUAGCUAACGCAUUAAGCGCCCCGCCUGGGGAGUACGGCCGCAAGGCUAAAACUCAAAGGAAUUGACGGGGGCCCGCACAAGCGGCGGAGCAUGUUGCUUAAUUCGACGCAACGCGAAGAACCUUACCAAGGUUUGACAUCACCCGUGGACCUGUAGAGAUACAGGGUCAUUUGGUUGGCGGGUGACAGGUGGUGCAUGGCUGUCGUCAGCUCGUGUCGUGAGAUGUUGGGUUAAGUCCCGCAACGAGCGCAACCCUUGUUCCAUGUUGCCAGCACGUAAUGGUGGGGACUCAUGGGAGACUGCCGGGGUCAACUCGGAGGAAGGUGGGGACGACGUCAAGUCAUCAUGCCCCUUAUGUCUUGGGCUGCAAACAUGCUACAAUGGCCGGUACAAUGGGCGUGCGAUACCGUGAGGUGGAGCGAAUCCCUAAAAGCCGGUCUCAGUUCGGAUUGGGGUCUGCAACUCGACCCCAUGAAGGUGGAGUCGCUAGUAAUCGCGGAUCAGCAACGCCGCGGUGAAUACGUUCCCGGGCCUUGUA